UCUGUCACCAGAAGAAAUCUUCACCGGUUUUGCUUUUUAACCCAAUUAAGAUUAUCGUUUAUAAUUGCCUAAUAUUAUAACUAUCUUUAUUCAUGGUUCUAUAUGGUUAUUUCAUUUCUAUUACAGUCGGGCGAAAAAGGACGUCGAUGUGAGUAGCCAUACUGAUCCUCUACAAGAACCUGCACUGCUUCCCCUCCUUCAAAGAAACUACCCAACCCACACUGUAAAAUGGUUGAUGUUAGGAAGAGCAUCUAACUGCAGAAACUAUGACGAUGGAGCACAAUAUAGUCUUUGGACACAUCAGCUCCUGUCAAACUGUCCGACCCAUGCCAGCAUGGAAUACAGAUGUUAACUGAUGAUAUCACUGUUUUAAGGUUUAGGUUUAAACAGGAUUUCUGUUUUUUCAUUUAAAUGUUUAAAAAUUUUCUACCACAGUUGAGAGAUUCCUCCCUCUUAUAUUACAGCAUCACAUCACAUCACACCUUUAGAUUAGCCUGUAGAAUGAAACAAGAAUAAAAUGAAUGUCUAAGACAUCCUGUAGCAAAGUACAAGGAAAUGUUUAGAUUCAACCAACUGUCAUGGACUAAACAGCUACUUGACCAACCAAUCAUAAAUAUGAAUCCUCCAUGUGGUCACUUGACCUGGUACAAAUAACAGAAAAAUCUGUCUCUAAUCACAGGGGCAGCUGCAGAAGAGAUUGGAUGGUAACAGUUGGAAUAAAGUUGAUCAAGGUUGUAGCUGGAAUAUUUGGUAGUCACAGACACUUCGGAAUCAAAAGCAGGUUGCUGAGUUUCAACAAUCAGGAUUUGUGGUGGGGAUAAGUGACAUUCGUGGUCAUUAAACCACUAUGAUCUAUAACAGAAAUCUCUGUACCAGAACAAAUCAAGAUUUGCCCAAAUAUUGAUCACAUUGCCAAAGGAACUGACCAUUUAGACAUUUGAUAAACAGGAUAUGAUCAGCAAGCUGUCCCUUUUCCUAAAGAAUAAAUAAAACUCUUUUACCAACAGGCUGUGGAUUCUGACCGUCAUGAUGCUACAUACAAUCUCUUGCCUUCCUGCUUCAUAUUUGUUGUAAAUACCUGUUCAGUCAUUUGUUGUAGCAACAUCCUAUAUUUUGUUAAUAAUGAAGAAUAAAUAUCUUUUCCUUUAAAA